UACGUAGGGGGCGAGCGUUGUCCGGAUUUAUUGGGCGUAAAGAGCGUGUAGGCGGUCAGGUAGGUCCGUUGUGAAAACUCGAGGCUCAACCUCGAGACGCCGAUGGAAACCAUCUGACUAGAGUCCGGAAGAGGAGAAUGGAAUUCCCGGUGUAGCGGUGAAAUGCGCAGAUAUCGGGAAGAACACCCGUGGCGAAGGCGGUUCUCUGGGACGGUACUGACGCUGAGACGCGAAAGCGUGGGGAGCGAACAGG
rnacentral:rRNA from 1 species